GAUGAACGCUGGCGGCGUGCCUAAUACAUGCCAGUCGAGCGAACAGACGAGGAGCUUGCUCCUCUGACGUUAGCGGCGGACGGGUGAGUAACACGUGGAUAACCUGCCUAUAAGACUGGGAUAACUUCGGGAAACCGGAGCUAAUACCGGAUAAUAUAUUGAACCGCAUGGUUCAAUAGUGAAAGACGGUUUUGCUGUCACUUAUAGAUGGAUCCGCGCCGCAUUAGCUAGUUGGUAAGGUAACGGCUUACCAAGGCGACGAUGCGUAGCCGACCUGAGAGGGUGAUCGGCCACACUGGAACUGAGACACGGUCCAGACUCCUACGGGAGGCAGCAGUAGGGAAUCUUCCGCAAUGGGCGAAAGCCUGACGGAGCAACGCCGCGUGAGUGAUGAAGGUCUUCGGAUCGUAAAACUCUGUUAUUAGGGAAGAACAAAUGUGUAAGUAACUAUGCACGUCUUGACGGUACCUAAUCAGAAAGCCACGGCUAACUACGUG
rnacentral:rRNA from 1 species